UGUGCUUCCAUAAUGUCCUAUGAAAAUAAGGACGUUUCCUCCCCACCUGAGACCAAGGUAGCAGACUUAAAGGAUCUGAAGCUAUUUUUUCCAGAACAGAGAGCUGGUCAAGGAUGGGACACUUGAGAAAGAAGGGCAUAGGGUGGAUAUAGAGAUUUUCCCGUGAUGCUUUAAUCUUCACAGAUGUUAUGAUGCUGUGGUCUAAGUACUAAGCAAAAAUCAUCAGAGGAGUGUUUAGUUAGAGAGACUUGUUCUGGACCACACUGGGGAAGGUGAGGCUGCUCUAUUUAAGAAUGCCAUGGUGAUUUAGCCUCUGAGCAGUCAUUGAAAAGGAAUCACCCUUCCUAGAUCUCAGUUCCCCCAACCAGUGAUCGAACCUGUGCCCCCUGCAGUGGAAGCGCAGAGUCCUAACCACUGGACCACCAGGGAAUUCCCAUUUUUGGUAUUUUUUUAAAGACGUCACAGUGUCGAUCUUUGUGGUGAAGAGCUUCAGAGGACUCCUGAGCCUGCCCUUGACCAGGGCAGGGCCAAGCUUGACCAAUGGAGCCUCUGAUCUCAGGAGCAGCUUCUCAAAGGCAAGAAAACAAGUUUGCAGAGAAUAUAUUGCUUUGAGCAAGACACUAAGAGGGAGUAAGAUGAAACCCAUCAUUCGGUGGAGUGAGUCGAAAAGCCCAGCCCGGAAGCUGCUCUAUCUCUGAAAGGUCCCUAUUAACCCAAUGGCUCUAAAACUAAAGUGAAUUUAUCAGUAUCCCCGCCAAAUGUGAAAGUCCCCCAAAUAAGGCUUCCUGAUUCCAUUUGACCAUUUCUGUUGAGAAAUAGGUUCAUUUUAAAUCCGGAGCUCUUGGUAUCUGAGAUCACAGGUCCAGACCCCUCAAGAGGGCAAUAAUAUCAGCAGUUUCCUUGCUGCCAAGAAAUAAAAGCUUAAAACUCAUUUCAAGUCA